GUAACAAGGUUUCCGUAGGUGAACCUGCGGAAGGAUCAUUACCGAGUGCGGGUCCUUUGGGCCCAACCUCCCAUCCGUGUCUAUUGUACCCUGUUGCUUCGGCGGGCCCGCCGCUUGUCGGCCGCCGGGGGGGCGCCUCUGCCCCCCGGGCCCGUGCCCGCCGGAGACCCCAACACGAACCCUGUCUGAAAGCGUGCAGUCUGAGUCGAUUGUUUGCAAUCAGUUAAAACUUUCAACAAUGGAUCUCUUGGUUCCGGCAUCGAUGAAGAACGCAGCGAAAUGCGAUAACUAAUGUGAAUUGCAGAAUUCAGUGAAUCAUCGAGUCUUUGAACGCACAUUGCGCCCCCUGGUAUUCCGGGGGGCAUGCCUGUCCGAGCGUCAUUGCUGCCCUCAAGCCCGGCUUGUGUGUUGGGUCGCCGUCCCCUCUCUCCGGGGGGACGGGCCCGAAAGGCAGCGGCGGCACCGCGUCCGAUCCUCGAGCGUAUGGGGCUUUGUCACAUGCUCUGUAGGAUUGGCCGGCGCCUGCCGACGUUUUCCAACCAUUCUUUCCAGGUUGACCUCGGAUCAGGUAGGGAUACCCGCUGAACUUAAGCAUAUCA
rnacentral:rRNA from 1 species